CUCCACUAUAUGUUUGCAUAUAAUAGUGGCUAAAAUUCAUUGUUUUCCUUCUAAUUUCUUUUUUCUUUUUGAACCUAAUGUAAUACAUGUAGAUAUUAAUAAAGAAAAUAUGAAAAGCACUCUCUUCCUUUGAUAAAAAAUUUUUAAAUCUCAUAAUAAAAUACUUAGAAUAACUAGUUAAUGCACUGUGUACCAUGAUCUUAUAUGAGAAACUCAAAAUAUGAACAUACACUGGUAUAAAUAAACAGCAAAAUAGAAGAUAGAGAAAUGAGAAGUAGAGAGGAUUUCAAAAAUAGUUCAGUAUGUAUGGUCAUUUGUCUCAUGUAUACUACUAGUUUCUCUUCGUUGAUUGAAAAGGUUUGUGCUAUUAUCUGUUUCUUUUUUGUAAGGGAGUCCUUUCCGUCUCUGACUUGUACUCUGAGUAACAUUUUGGCCAUUUUUCUUUGGCUCUGCGGCUUUCAUGGACUCUUUCUGACUUUCACCCCAACAGAGCAGCCACAUCUCUGCCUCCAUCCUUUCCUGCUGCCUUCCGUGUGCUUAGGGUCCCCCGGCCCGGUCCGUGCUGCCUGGGCGUGUAUUUCUACAGCGCGGCUCUGCCUGCUGAGCCACUCCCCGCCAGCUCUGCACGAGCGAUGUGGAUUUGCUAACCCUUCCUUCUCUCAUUUUAGAAUUAGCUUUCAGGGUUUAAAUACUUUUAGAAAGCUUGCUCAUCAAUAGGACACUUGGUUCUCAUGCCCACAAAAAUGGCACUCCAUGCUUUUAGGUGAUUUUAAAUUUACUUUGUGUAAAGUUUUAUGAUUUUCCACAGAGGUCUUAAAUAUAUUUUGUUAGAUUUAUUCCUAGCACUGGAAAUAUUUUGUC
rnacentral:lncRNA from 1 species